rnacentral:rRNA from 1 species
GCUUACGGCCAUACCACCCUGAACAGCCCAUUCGUCCGAUUCGGAAGCUAAGCAGGGUCGGGCCUGGUUAGUACUUGGAUGGGAGACCGCCUGGGAAUACCAGGUGCUGUAAGCU